rnacentral:rRNA from 1 species
GAGUGAAGAAGGCCUUCGGGUUGUAAAGCUCUUUCGGAGGGGACGAAAUGGUUUUGGCUAAUACCACGAACUGAUGACGGUACCCGAAGAAAAAGCACCGGCUAACUACGUGCCAGCAGCCGCGGUAAUACGUAGGGUGCAGGCGUGAAUCGGAAUUACUGGGCGUACAGCGUGCGCAGGCGGUUUGCUAAGACAGAUGUGAAAUCCCCGGGCUUAACCUGGGAACUGCGUUUGUAACUGGCAGGCUGGAGUGUGGCAGAGGGGGGUGGAAUUCCAAGUGUAGCAGUGGAAUGCGUAGAUAUGUGGAGGAAUACCGAUGGCGAAGGCAGCCCCCUGGGAUAACACUGACGCUCAUGCACGAAAGCGUGGGGAGCAAACAGGAUUAGAUACCCUGGUAGUCCACGCCCUAAACGAUGUCAACUAGUUGUCGGGUCUUAAUUGACUUGGUAACGCAGCUAACGCGUGAAGUAGACCGCCUGAGGAGUACGGUCGCAAGAUUAAAACUCAAAGGAAUUGACGGGGACCCGCACAAGCGGUGGCUGAUGUGGAUUAAUUCGAUGCAACGCGAAGAACCUUGACUACCCUUGACAUGGCGGGAAUCCUGACGAGA